rnacentral:misc_RNA from 1 species
AAUGCAAUCAAGAUGAAAUUGAUGGCCACAUUGAAGCUUAGCCCAAGAUCUAUCCCCAGAAUCUGCAACAACAUCAAGACAGAUCGAGCAGGGGACAGAACCAAAAGAUUUUCCACCACCGGCACCACAUCCUCCGUCGCCAUAAUCGCCAUCUUCAGCCACCGCAUCGUCGUCGUUACCCAACCCCAUGUAAGAAAUAUCA